rnacentral:rRNA from 1 species
UAGGGAAUCUUCCGCAAUGGGCGAAAGCCUGACGGAGCAACGCCGCGUGAGUGAUGAAGGUCUUCGGAUCGUAAAACUCUGUUAUUAGGGAAGAACAAAUGUGUAAGUAACUAUGCACGUCUUGACGGUACCUAAUCAGAAAGCCACGGCUAACUACGUGCCAGCAGCCGCGGUAAUCCGUAGGUGGCAAGCGUUAUCCGGAAUUAUUGGGCGUAAAGCGCGCGUAGGCGGUUUUUUAAGUCUGAUGUGAAAGCCCACGGCUCAACCGUGGAGGGUCAUUGGAAACUGGAAAACUUGAGUGCAGAAAAGGAAAGUGGAAAUCCAUGUGUAGCGGUGAAAUGCGCAGAGAUAUGGAGGAACACCAGUGGCGAAGGCGACUUUCUGGGCUGUAACUGACGCUGAUGUGCGAAAGCGUGGGGAUCAAACAGG